rnacentral:rRNA from 1 species
CACGUAGGGCGCAAGCGUUGUCCGGAAUUAUUGGGCGUAAAGAGCUCGUAGGCGGUCUGUUGCGUCCGCUGUGAAAACUCGGGGCUUAACCCCGAGCCUGCAGUGGAUACGGGCAGACUAGAGGUAGGUAGGGGAGAAUGGAAUUCCCGGUGUAGCGGUGAAAUGCGCAGAUAUCAGGAGGAACACCGGUGGCGAAGGCGGGUCUCUGGGCCGAUACUGACACUGAGGAGCGAAAGCGUGGGGAGCGAACAGG